rnacentral:rRNA from 1 species
ACGGGUGAGUAACACGUGAGCAACCUGCCCCUCACUCUGGGAUAAGCGCUGGAAACGGCGUCUAAUACUGGAUACGAGACGCAACCGCAUGGUUAGCGUCUGGAAAGAUUUUUUGGUGGGGGAUGGGCUCGCGGCCUAUCAGCUUGUUGGUGAGGUAAUGGCUCACCAAGGCGUCGACGGGUAGCCGGCCUGAGAGGGUGACCGGCCACACUGGGACUGAGACACGGCCCAGACUCCUACGGGAGGCAGCAGUGGGGAAUAUUGCACAAUGGGCGGAAGCCUGAUGCAGCAACGCCGCGUGAGGGAUGACGGCCUUCGGGUUGUAAACCUCUUUUAGCAGGGAAGAAGCGAGAGUGACGGUACCUGCAGAAAAAGCACCGGCUAACUACGUGCCAGCAGCCGCGGUAAUACGUAGGGUGCAAGCGUUAUCCGGAAUUAUUGGGCGUAAAGAGCUCGUAGGCGGUUUGUCGCGUCUGCUGUGAAAUCCCGAGGCUCAACCUCGGGCCUGCAGUGGGUACGGGCAGACUAGAGUGCGGUAGGGGAGAUUGGAAUUCCUGGUGUAGCGGUGGAAUGCGCAGA